UUCUCGUUAAUAUUUAGUAGCUGAAAAGAGUUGACCAAUGACUGCGAAGAUAUGAAGCUUCUUAUAAUAAUUUCACCAAAACCCGCCUCGUUUCCGAUGUUUGCCGAAUGUUGCCGAUGUGAAUUUCUUCCCUCUGAGCAAAAAUAAAAAAAAUCUCUCUUCCCUCGUUCGUCUCGCUGUGGAUCAGCCUGGGCUCUAAGAAAAGAGGCUCAGAGCUGAGGCCUGUAAAUGUCUGUAGUGAAACAGGGAAAAUAGUCGACAAAUAUUACAUUUUCACUUCAGAAACAUUGUUUAUUGGAUUAUAUUUCGAUCUCUUUUAAGAAAUGCGUCGACGUUUUGGCUUUUUGACUUGUGCAUUUUUGGAUCUCUGGGACUUUGAAUGCAAGCCUCAGACUCGACUGCGAGGGAUGGCUGCAUAUUGAACUGGAUUUUCCCGCACGCCCUUUAGGAAAGUCUCGGGAAAGCCUCAACUGCUUAUUUAACACCUGCUUCUCACCGGAUUUGGACUAUUUUCACUUAUAUCUGUAAUAUGCUCGCUUUGUAUUGAAUCAUAAUGUUAAAUUGUUGAUUCGCUUUAAAAUAUUUUUGUUAAAACGAGAAACCCUACAAAGGCCACGUUUCGAAAGCAGGCUGAAAUGGCGGUUAAGUUGCAUUAUUUGGCCACUAAUUUUACCGACGAACGGCGAGUGUUAUUUAAAGUGUAAUGGUUGCAACUCGUUUACAAGCCCGCUGAUUCCAUUUUUAAAUUUCUAGAGUUAUUAUUUGGCUUUCUUGGGUAAAGCAGUCGAUUGGUUAGCUUAACGUCGGACUAUUUACCAGCAAUGACGGUAUGUUCCCUGAUGUUUUUUGCCCUGCUAUUUCACGUACCAUCAACAGUUUAUUAUAUUUAUCCCAUAAUGGUAUUAUUAUAUCGUAGUGUUAAAAAGUGCCGUUAACGUGAGGCUCCCUGUGUUUUAGCCUUCUUCGGUUUAGCCCUGUAUUUGCCAUAAUGGCACAAAACGAUGUUUACCGGUUAAUUACUGGCUAAUGGUACCAUGCUUGUUUACAUGCUGAGGUUGUUGAAAACGCGUUGAUUUACUAUACCACCUUUAUUUUUGCUUUUCAAACGCUACCGUGAGGAAUAUAAUUAAGGCUAUCACAGUUAGCGCUCAACAUGGCGGUUGUAUGCUUCUUGUUGUGAACGAGAAAAGAUGGAGGUCUGGAAUAUUCUUGUUGGCUAACUUGACCAGUCAAAUACCCACGUAUUUGUUUUUAUAUUAAACCGCCGAACACAGUAUUAAAAUGAGCCCUGUGAAUAUUUUAGCUUUACUUUUAAAUCGUUAGGUUAUUUCAGAGGUAGAAAGUGCUCGUUUACGUUUGCCAGUGACGAUUUGAACACUGUCGACUCUUCGUCGGUGGAGAAAGUUGAAGCCAUUUUGCUAACAACGUGCAUAUUAGUCUGUUAUAGAAGAGGAAAUCUCUCUGUUUAGUCUGUAUGCGGAUGUAUAACCCUGAAUUUACUGUAAUUAGAACAAUGGGGUAUUAACCAACAUGUAUUAGAGUCAAACUGAGGUAAGCGUGUUAGAGCUAAAAUAUUAUAAGUGUCUUCAGUAGCUAAGAAUUGUCUUCAGCAUAAACAAUAGAUUAUGCUCAAAGGAAUCGACCGAAGUGACCAGUGUUUCCUGAGCAAAAUGAUACAAUGUCUUAAAUGUAAGCUCUUUGACAGCCACCAAUCCCAUUUGUCCCAUAAAAGCAACAGAGGGUUGUUUGGCAGUAGGUGCUCAGUAUUCGGUAUAGACCCUUUUACACAUUUUGUCUUCGUUUUGUCAAAAGAAGGUGGGAGUAAACGCCACAAGCAGUGUUUAAAUCCUUGUGUGGUUGCAUAAUCUAAAUCUGGUGUAGUGUUUUUACUGCAUGUAAUGCUGUUGAAGCAUUGUAUCAGGUUCUCCUGCCCAUUUUCCUUUUUUUCUAAAUAAAGAAACAUUUUUGAAACAACAGUAUGGACUGUUAAGUUUUAUUUUUACAUCCCACAUUUUCUUGUUUAAAAAAAAAUACCACAUGCAUGUUGCUGAAUGGGACCAAAUACCAGCACUGUGAACAUGCCUGUUUGCCA
ensembl:lncRNA